rnacentral:rRNA from 1 species
GACGAACGCUGGCGGCGUGCUUAACACAUGCAAGUCGAACGGAAAGGCCCUGCUUUUGUGGGGUGCUCGAGUGGCGAACGGGUGAGUAACACGUGAGUAACCUGCCCUUGACUUUGGGAUAACUUCAGGAAACUGGGGCUAAUACCGGAUAGGAGCUCCUGCUGCAUGGUGGGGGUUGGAAAGUUUCGGCGGUUGGGGAUGGACUCGCGGCUUAUCAGCUUGUUGGUGGGGUAGUGGCUUACCAAGGCUUUGACGGGUAGCCGGCCUGAGAGGGUGACCGGCCACAUUGGGACUGAGAUACGGCCCAGACUCCUACGGGAGGCAGCAGUGGGGAGUAUUGCACAAUGGGCGGAAGCCUGAUGCAGCAACGCCGCGUGCGGGAUGACGGCCUUCGGGUUGUAAACCGCUUUCGCCUGUGACGAAGCGUGAGUGACGGUAAUGGGUAAAGAAGCACCGGCUAACUACGUGCCAGCAGCCGCGGUGAUACGUANGGUGCGAGCGUUGUCCGGAUUUAUUGGGCGUAAAGGGCUCGUAGGUGGUUGAUCGCGUCGGAAGUGUAAUCUUGGGGCUUAACCCUGAGCGUGCUUUCGAUACGGGUUGACUUGAGGAAGGUAGGGGAGAAUGGAAUUCCUGGUGGAGCGGUGGAAUGCGCAGAUAUCAAGAGGAACACCAGUGGCGAAGGCGGUUCUCUGGGCCUUUCCUGACGCUGAGGAGCGAAAGCGUGGGGAGCGAACAGGCUUAGAUACCCUGGUAGUCCACGCUGUAAACGGUGGGUACUAGGUGUGGGGUCCAUUCCACGGGUUCCGUGCCGUAGCUAACGCUUUAAGUACCCCGCCUGGGGAGUACGGCCGCAAGGCUAAAACCCAAAGGAAUUGACGGGGCCCCGCACAAGCGGCGGAGCAUGCGGAUUAAUUCGAUGCAACGCGUAGAACCUUACCUGGGUUUGACAUGGAUCGGGAGUGCUCAGAGAUGGGUGUGCCUCUUUUGGGGUCGGUUCACAGGUGGUGCAUGGCUGUCGUCAGCUCGUGUCGUGAGAUGUUGGGUUAAGUCCCGCAACGAGCGCAACCCUUGUUCACUGUUGCCAGCACGUUAUGGUGGGGACUCAGUGGAGACCGCCGGGGUCAACUCGGAGGAAGGUGGGGAUGACGUCAAGUCAUCAUGCCCCUUAUGUCCAGGGCUUCACGCAUGCUACAAUGGCUGGUACAGAGAGUGGCGAGCCUGUGAGGGUGAGCGAAUCUCGGAAAGCCGGUCUCAGUUCGGAUUGGGGUCUGCAACUCGACCUCAUGAAGUCGGAGUCGCUAGUAAUCGCAGAUCAGCAACGCUGCGGUGAAUACGUUCCCGGG